rnacentral:lncRNA from 1 species
AUUCGAGGACACCGACGGAGAAGGCAGCGGUAACCCAGCCUCACCGCUGUUCGAUGGCGAUGCUGCGGAGUCGAUCUCCAUGGGAGGCAAGAAGGAAGAGAAACUUCCUCUGUCUCUCUCGAUAGGCUGCCGGACGAAAGGAAGUGCGAGGGGCGUCGACGUUGGUUGACUCGGUGGUGAGUCCAAUGGAGAGAUCCCGUGUUGGGAGGAGCGAGUUGUUAUUA